ACUGCAGCGAUGGCCCUCAGAAACCCGAGCUGUUGUGGGUUUCCUCAGGAGCUUUCCGCCAUUGGCCAGGCUUUGAAAGAGCUUUAGGAACCAUAAAGAACUAAUAGAAACUUAAAGUAGUAUCACCCUCGCUUGACUGAAAUUUUAUGUGGAAACUAAGCUCAACGUGUCUGAGAUAAGGAAACUGAGGCAUAGAAAAAUAACCUGUCAUAUAGAGGCUUCCAGCCAGGAUCAAAUACAAUUACCAGUACAAACAAAAACCAACAGAAGAAAAAAGAAAACAAAAGAUUU